CUCCCCCCGCCGCGCUUCAGGGACAUGGAGACCAGGGGGCUCUCCGAGGCCAGGGGCCCUGUUCUGCUUCAGGGUGCAGGCGCAUGCGGGGAGCUGACCGCCUGCCCGACCCCACAGCAUCCGCUGCCCGUGUCCCUGGGAAGGUCCCCACAUCUGAGCGAGGCCCGAGGCCCUGAGGGGUGCUCAACCUCUCCUUGCACACCUCUACUGAUGGAGAGCUCACCACUUCCCAAGACAGCCCUUUGUGGAAGCUAGACUUUGGAAUUAGAGCCCUGGACUGGACACUCGGAUCAGCGUAGGACCCUGGAGAAGCCACUUCGCUCCUGUGAGUCCCUGUUUCCCUUCCAUAAGAGGGGCUCAUGAUCUCACAGCUCUGCAGGGAGAUGAACACGCGACAUUGGCUAUGGCAAUGGAAAUGGCAAGCCGCACACGCAUGGUGGGGGUUAUUCUUGUCAUAAUUGCCAUUAUUAUGAGGAUGUCACACAGCACUAAUUGUUCCAGAGCUUUCUCUGAUAUUGAACCCACAUUCGUUCUCCUCCAGCUCCUACGCAUAGGUCUUCCCACACUCAGGUUAAUCGUGGUGGUUGUGGUGAGAAAGAGAGCACUUGUCAGCUGUAUUAAGGCUCAAAUCCAAUCUGAGAACUGGCAUCUGGAAAAAUACAGAGCAAGGGGGCGCUCACUGAGAACCCAGGGACUCUCAGGAAUGAACUGGCCACAAGUCGCAGGCAACGUGCAUCAAAGAAAGACGUGCUCCCAUUGUCCCUCCCCCUCCUUUCUGUCAACAAACAUUCUAGUGCCUUCCAUGGAGGAUACAGAGAGGCCGUCCCCGAUCUCCCGACAAACACCCAAUGCACCCGCCCCUCUGCUCUGUUCCUGCUCAUGUUUCUCCCUAUAGUGCCUGUCACUGUCAGAUGUUUCUCAUUUCUCUCCUUGUUUAUUCGCUGUCCUCUUCUGCAAGACAUGUGCACUCUUCAGGCAGGGGCCCUGUCUGUCUUGUUCUGCACCUGGUUCCCAGUGCCAGCCCGGGGCCUGGGAUACGAGAUACUGAAUAAACGUCUGUUGAAUGGGUUUCUAAAUAAAUGGUGAACAAAGAACUUCCGUCUGGCGGGGAACAGCAGACAAGUAUACGGAUGGUGUCAGUUCAGUGCGGUCAGUGCCAUGACAACAGGCGAACAAGGACUUGAAGGGGUAACACAAGAAGAGGCAGAAACUCUGCCUCAGCCCUGUCCAGGAAGGCUCCCCUCGAGAAAGACCUGAGUUGGGCUUUGAGGGACGAGCAGGAGUUAGGCAGGUGGAUGAGGAAGCUGUGUGUGCAAAGAGCCAGGGCGUCCAGCAAUGGGAUGCAUUUGCAGUAGGACGUGUUUGUUGCG
rnacentral:lncRNA from 1 species